AACAAACGCUGGCGGCAUGCCUUACACAUGCAAGUCGAACGGUAACGCGGGGCAACCUGGCGACGAGUGGCGAACGGGUGAGUAAUACAUCGGAACGUACCCAGUAGUGGGGGAUAGCCCGGCGAAAGCCGGAUUAAUACCGCAUACGACCUAAGGGUGAAAGCGGGGGAUCGCAAGACCUCGCGCUAUUGGAGCGGCCGAUGUCAGAUUAGGUAGUUGGUGGGGUAAAGGCCCACCAAGCCUACGAUCUGUAGCUGGUCUGAGAGGGCGACCAGCCACACUGGGACUGAGACACGGCCCAGACUCCUACGGGAGGCAGCAGUGGGGAAUUUUGGACAAUGGGCGCAAGCCUGAUCCAGCCAUGCCGCGUGCGGGAAGAAGGCCUUCGGGUUGUAAACCGCUUUUGUCAGGGAAGAAACGCUCUGGGCUAAUACCCUGGGGUAAUGACGGUACCUGAAGAAUAAGCACCGGCUAACUACGUGCCAGCCGCCGCCGUAAGAC
rnacentral:rRNA from 1 species